rnacentral:hammerhead_ribozyme from 1 species
AUCCAACCGACGAGUCCCAAAUAGGACAAAACACACGUCCUGAAU